rnacentral:rRNA from 1 species
AUGAACGCUGGCGGCGUGCCUAAUACAUGCAAGUCGAGCGAACAGACGAGGAGCUUGCUCCUCUGACGUUAGCGGCGGACGGGUGAGUAACACGUGGAUAACCUACCUAUAAGACUGGGAUAACUUCGGGAAACCGGAGCUAAUACCGGAUAAUAUAUUGAACCGCAUCGUUCAAUAGUGAAAGACGGUUUUGCUGUCACUUAUAGAUGGAUCCGCGCCGCAUUAGCUAGUUGGUAAGGUAACGGCUUACCAAGGCAACGAUGCGUAGCCGACCUGAGAGGGUGAUCGGCCACACUGGAACUGAGACACGGUCCAGACUCCUACGGGAGGCAGCAGUAGGGAAUCUUCCGCAAAGGGCGAAAGCCUGACGGAGCAACGCCGCGUGAGUGAUGAAGGUCUUCGGAUCGUAAAACUCUGUUAUUAGGGAAGAACAAAUGUGUAAGUAACUAUGCACGUCUUGACGGUACCUAAUCAGAAAGCCACGGCUAACUACGUG